GACGAACGCUGGCGGCGUGCUUAACACAUGCAAGUCGAACGGAAAGGCCCUGCUUUUGUGGGGUGCUCGAGUGGCGAACGGGUGAGUAACACGUGAGUAACCUGCCCUUGACUUUGGGAUAACUUCAGGAAACUGGGGCUAAUACCGGAUAGGAGCUCCUGCUGCAUGGUGGUGGUUGGAAAGUUUCGGCGGUUGGGGAUGGACUCGCGGCUUAUCAGCUUGUUGGUGGGGUAGUGGCUUACCAAGGCUUUGACGGGUAGCCGGCCUGAGAGGGUGACCGGCCACAUUGGGACUGAGAUACGGCCCAGACUCCUACGGGAGGCAGCAGGGGGGAACAUUGCACAAUGGGCGGAAGCCUGAUGCAGAAACGCCGCGUGCGGGAUGACGGCCUUCGGGUUGUAAACCGCUUUCGCCUGUGACGAAGCGUGAGUGACGGUAAUGGGUAAAGAAGCACCGGCUAACUACGUG
rnacentral:rRNA from 1 species